GAUGAACGCUGACAGAAUGCUUAACACAUGCAAGUCGAUGGGGAAGUGGUGCUUGCCCCAUGGCAACCAUGGCGGACGGGUGAGUAACGCGUAAGGGACUUACCUGCAGGACCGGGAUAACAGGGGGAAACUCCUGACAAGACCGGAUAAUGUCAUGGAGCUGCAUGGCUUUAUGAUGAAAGGAGACGCCUGCGGAGAGCCUUGCGUCCUAUUAGCUAGUUGGUGAGGUAAUGGCUCACCAAGGCGAAGAUAGGUAGCCGGCCUGAGAGGGUGGACGGCCACAAGGGGACUGAGAUACGGCCCUUACUCCUACGGGAGGCAGCAGUGGGGAAUAUUGGACAAUGGGGGCAACCCUGAUCCAGCAAUUCUGUGUGCACGAAGAAGGUUUUCGGAUUGUAGAGUGCUUUCAGCAGGGAAGAAGUAAGUGACGGUACCUGCAGAAGAAGCGACGGCUAAAUACGUG
rnacentral:rRNA from 1 species